CAGGCACUUGUUUGUGAACUUAAAGUGCCCCACAUCCUAUUUCCUUAUGCAUACUGCUAACUGCCAAAAUAUUCUCUCUCUGUCCACCUGACCCUCCAUUCCUGCUUCCUGUGACCUGGGAAUGGAGAAUUACCCUCUGGACUCCUUGUGCCCUCCCUGCUCAGGAUAUCACAGAGGGACGAAGGCAAUUGCCUACCCUGCUUGAGAGAUGCAGAGGCCUGGUGUGGAGUUAGCAGUAUUAUGAGAUUGGAUCAGCCUGGAUCACUGAAUCACUGCAUGUAGGACACACUAUGGAGAGUUUCUUGUGCCAAGAUCAGACAUGGUAUAUGCAAGAAUAAAUGUGUGCGUGAAUCAAACCAGAGGUUGUGUUUAUUUUUUAAUUACUAUAUUGUAUUCUUGCUAACCUGACUAAUCCAGCCAGCAACCUUACAAUUCUAAUUAUCUGACUGUAGAUCCUCCCAGGUUGUCUAUGUACAUAAACUUGUCCUCACUUUGCAAAAGCUAACUAUCUUGUUUCUUUUUUUUCCAAUCAUGUCAACUUAAUUUUGGCUUAUUUGUUUAUUUAUGCACUGAAUGUUGAAUUGAAGAGAUAUGGUGAAAAUAUUUUACUUGCUUUUGAUUUCGAAGGAAAAGCUCUUAAAAUUUACUAUUAAAUGGAAUUAUUAUUGCAAGUUUUUAUAAACUAAGGAAAUUACUUGUGUCAUUCUAUUUAAGAUUCUUUUCAAUUGGAUCAUGCACUGGUAUUGAACAUAAUCUAAUAAUUAUUUUAAAUCCAUUGAAAUAAACAUGCUGAUUUUCUUUAAUCUUCUAAUCCAGACACUUACAUCGGUGGAUUUUCAAAUGUUCAUUCGAUUUUGAAUUUUGGGGGAGGAUUAUAUUUUUAAACCACUGUUGGAUUUAGUAUUUUAAUAUUAAUGUUAAAUUUCAUUUAUAGUUAUGAGUGCAUUAAUUUGUAGUUUCUCAUUCUCCUACAGUUUUUGUAUCAAAUUUAUAUAAGAUUCAUAAAUUUGAAGAGAUUUGUUGUUCUUGUUUAAUCUUGUUUUAAGGCUAGAAUUAUUUACUCCACAAAUGUUGCAAAGAAUUCAAAUUAAAAUGAUUCGGGAAUGAUGAUAACUGUUUGGUUAUUAUUUAAGUAUUGAUUUUGUUAUUUGAUAAUGUGAGACUACUCAUAUUACCUAUUUUUAGUUAGGCAUGGAAAUUUUUUUCUAGUUAAAUUUCAAUUUAAAAGAACAUUUUCUUAUUUGAGAGUAUAAUUUUCUAUCACAUUUUAAUAUUUUUACUACAUAUUGAAUUUUAUCUUCUUUUCAACUCCUAAUUGUAUCUAUUCAUCAAUUUUGUCACAAGUUGAUCAAUUUUAUUAGAUUUGAAAUUACAAGAAUUUACAUUUGUUGAUUCUCUGUGUGUGUGUGUGUGUGUGUGUGUGUGUGUGUGUGUGUGUGUGUUUGUUUUAAAUGAGCUAUCCACCGCCGUUAUUCUGUUAUUCCUUUUAUAAACUCCUAAGUUAGAACCUGGGCAUGGAUUUCCUUUCCUCUCAAAUAAACAUUUAAAGAUAAAAUUAUCCUGUUAAGUAUAUUUUCAAAAGUUUUUACCUAUGUUAUGAUGGCAAACAAUUCAAUGUAAAUAAAUUCUAAUUUCUAUUGUGACUGAUUCUUUUACCUGUGUUUGGCUUCAGUGCAGCUUAUUAUACUUUCUAAAUUGUUUCUUUUAGUUAUGUUUUUGGUUGAUUUCCAAAUUACAUUAUGGUCAGUAAAAGAUAUAUAUAAUAUCAUUUUUUAAUUACUGAAGUUUACUUUGCUAAUUAUUUUAAGGUCAAUUUUUAAAUUUACCAUGAAUUCUAGAAAGCAAUGUGCAUUCUCCAGGUAUUGAGUGAGUUUUUCAUAUCUACUAAUUAGGUCAAGUUCCUUGUGUUGUUCAAAUCCUCAAUUAUCUAUUUUUUUCUGAUUUAUCAGAUUAUUUUGUCUGAUUUAUCUUCCAGGAAGUGUGUGCUAAAAUCCCUCAAUAUGAUUCUGAAUUCUGUUUCAUUUCUUCUUGGAAUUUUGUCAAGUUUUUGUUCCAUCUACUUUCAAGCUAUGUUACUGGGCAAUUUCACAUGAGAUGGCUAUAUCUUCUUGCUGAAUCAAAUAUUUUACCAUUAUGCAGUGAUUUAUUAAAAAUUAAUGUCUAAUUUGUUUAGUGUGUCUCAUAUCAAUUAAUUUAUACCUGUCUUAUUUGGCUUAGUAUUUAUAUGUCUGGAGUUUUUUUUUUUUUGUUAAUAAUCCCAGAGAUUUUUUAAAGUUAACAAUUUUUCUUUGAAUAUAUGAAACAGAUUUACUUCACAUUCUAUUUCUGUUAAGUUUAAUAUUUGCUGCCUCAGGGUUUUGUUUAAUGUUUCUAUUAUCUUUCUUAUCGUGAUUACGGAGUCCACUAUCUGGGAACACUUUUGAGGGAGAUUUUUUGAGAUUUGUUUUACUUAAGUUUUACUUUUGUUUUUCCCAGGGAAAUAAAGUAACAACCUAACUUAGGUGUAUUCAAACUGAAUUAUUUACGCGUGUUUUUCUGGAAGCAGGUGUGGUAUAAAUUCUAACCCCAAACCUGUUUGAGGACAGUCAUGAAACUCGAAAUUUGGUAAGGCGGACUUUCUUCUCAGUAUCUAUCCUUGUCAAAUGGAUAAUGUUAUUUCCAGUAAAAAGGGCCACAUGUUUUUCUCCUGUAUCCAAAGUUCUAACUCAUAAAGGAUUGUAUGUACCCUACCUGCUGGGUUUGGUAGUGCUAUCUUCUCUGUUAUUGUAUUAUUUCUCUUUUUUUAAAGAAUUUUUUUUCUCACUUUCUUGACACCUCUGGAAUGUGUGUAUAUAUAUAUAUCUGUAUUGCAUGCUAUUAUCUUAUAUUUAGUUAAAAGGCAUACAUUUUUCUGAGAAAGUAUUCUCUUUCCUGUGCUGAAUAACUUUUCAGAUGUAUGCAUUUUAAUCAGCAAAUUAUUAGAGCAAUUUUUUCUUUUUUUUUUCUUUUCUUUUUUCUUUUUCUUUCUUUCUUUUUUUUCUUUUUUGAGACGGAGUUUCACUCUUGUUGCCCAGACUGGAGUGCAAUGACGCGAUCCCAGUUCACCGCAACCUCUGCCUCCUGGGUUCAAGCGAUUCUCCUGCUUCAGCCUCCCGAGUAGCUGGGAUUACAGGCAUGUGCCACCAAGCCCGGCUAAUUUGUAUUUUUAGUAGAGACGGUUUCUCCAUGUUGGUCAGGCUGGUCUUGAACUCCCGACCUCAGGUGAUCCACCCACCUCCGCCUCCCAAAGUGCUGGGAUUACAGGUGUGAGCCACCGCGCCUGGCAGGGCAACUUUUCUUGCUCUCAUUCUGCAAUAUACUGGUAUGUGUUUGUCAUAUUACGUAUGUAUUUUUUCAUCCAGUUUUUGCCUCAUAACUCCCAUAUCCUUUUUCAUAAUGUUGGGGGACUUUGGGCCUCAGAAAACAGAAUCUCUCUCUUCAACCUUGUCCUGCCUUCCUUUCACUUGCCUAAGGCAGAACUCUAAUCUGACUGUGGGUCCUAAGACCUUCAUUCCAGAGGGGGUCCUGCCGCACACACUGAAGAAAGGAAUACUGCAUGCGAGGCCAAGAAGAAUCUGAACAGACAAGCGUUGCUGGGUUAAGAUUAUACUCCUUUUGUCCAGUCACAUUUCCACACACUUGUCAAUCAUGCCUAUCCAGUGAAGUUUCCAUAAAAGGCCCAUGAGGACAAGAUUCAGAGAGUUUACAGAUACCUGAACAAGUGGCGAUUCCCAGAAGGCAACACGUUCA
rnacentral:lncRNA from 1 species